UACGGAGGGUGCAAGCGUUAUCCGGAUUCACUGGGUUUAAAGGGUGCGUAGGCGGUCCGUUAAGUCUGAUGUGAAAGCCCUGGGCUCAACUCAGGAACUGCAUUGGAAACUGGCGGGCUUAGAGUACCGGAGAGGGAAGCGGAAUUCCUGGUGUAGCGGUGAAAUGCGUAGAUACCAGGAGGAACACCGGUGGCGAAGGCGGUUUCCUGGCCGAGUACUGACGCUGAGGCACGAAAGCGUGGGGAGCGAACGGG
rnacentral:rRNA from 1 species